rnacentral:lncRNA from 1 species
CAGAAGUAAAACAGGAAAUGACAAACUUUCACAAUAGAAUUUUACUUCUGGGCAACUGAGAUUAUCUCUGUGGUAAUGGGAUUUGUCUAGUUCUAGUUGCAGACGCCUACGCGGACAGGAGUGACAUUGGGAGACAGAUUCCAUUUCAAGAUGGCCACUGUAUCUCCCUGGCGAGAGAGACUACUGACUGUGUAGCUGCUCCACCAGUAUUGUCUUGUCUGAGCAGCACCUGUUGCCAUGGGUCCCAAACGUGCUCAAUGGGCUCUUCGCUGGCCAUGGCAGAACACUGACAUUCCUGUCUUGCAGGAAAUCACUCACAGAAUGAGCAGUAUGGCUGGUGGCAUUGUCAUGCUGGAGGGUCAUAUCAGGAUGAGUCUGCAGGAAGGGUACCACAUGAGGGAGGAGGAUGUCUUCCCUGUUACGCACAGCGUUGAGAUUGCCUGCAACAAGCUCAGUCCGAUGAUGCUGUGACACACCGCCCCAGACCAUGAUGAACCCUCCACCUCCAAAUUGAUCCCGCUCCAGAGUACAGGCCUCAGUAUAACGCUCAAUCCUUCGAUGAUAAACGCGAAUCCGACCAUCACCCCUGGUGAGACAAAACCACGACUCGUCAGUGAAGAGCACUUUUUGACUGUCCUGUCUGGUCCAGCGAUGGUGGGUUUGUGCCCAUAGGUGACGUUGUUGCCGGUGAUGUCUGGUGAGGACCUGCCUUACAACAGGCCUACAAGCCCUCAGUUCAGGCUCUCUCAGCCUAUUGCGGACAGUCUGAGCGUUGAUGAAGGGAUUGUGUGUUCCUGGUGUAAUUC